GCCACCGUGUGCGGCCACAACACUGGUGGCCGAGCCUGACAGUGUCACCUCACCCAUUAUAAGGCCGGAGCCUGAUAGAGUUCAAAUCGGUGUGAAUGCCUCCACGGAGCCUAACAGAGUGCCGUCACCCAAUCUAGAGGCAGAGCCUGCUAGAGUUCAAACUAGUGUGGACAUCCCCACAGAGCCUAACUUAGUGACCUCACCCAAUAUAGAGGCAGAGC